UGUACAGUUACAAGUCAUGUAUUUUUUCGACUGCAAUAUUAAAUGCUUUCACGUCACAUGCAAAAUUACACAGGAAUGUGGCUGACUUUUUAUUUGUAGUUUACAUGAGUGUCAUUGCACUUUUCAGGAGUUAAGGCAGAUGUGGAGGCACAACGGGUGAUACCAGACACACACCAAGCACAUUAUGUUCGGACAUUCAAUCAUGACAGGAUCCAGGUGGAUGCUGUCCAUUGAUGAAAGAGUUUGUUCCGAGGUUUCUGGAUAGAAUUAAUUCCAAAGAUGGGAAAAAGUGCACAUCCAGAC